CCGAGCUGAAUCUGCGACCUACAACCAAGGCUCAUGGCAACGCCAGAUCCUUAACCCACUGAGCAGGCCCAGGGAUGGAAACUGCGUCCUCAUGGAUGCUAGUCAGAUUUGUUUCCGCUGAGCCAUGAUGGGAACUCCCUUCAACUUUAUUUGUGAGAGUGUUUUUUAAAUGUUUCACUAUGUAUUUCUUUUAAAUAUGUUUAAAAUAUAACUAUGUUAUUUAGAGCUUAAAAUCUAUUUCAUAGCUUUGUGGAUUAAAAAAAACCCAUCAAAUUACUCACUGCUUAUUAGCUAAAAUGAAAUUAUGAAUGUCCUUACAUGAAUUGGAGCAUAACUGAUUAUCUCCAGUUAGGAAUACAUGUAUUACCUUAAAUUAUUCAACCUUUUUUCUUUCUCUACUGUGUAUAAUGCACUGGACUUGGUUAUGGUUGGUGUCACAGCAAUGCCAGAUCCUUAACCCCAUGAGACAGGCCAUAAGGAAGGGAUCAACAAAUUGAUGACAAAAUAAUUACCAACUUUUUUCUUACUAACGUUGCCCACUUUCAGAGAGGGUGAUUUCUAACUUUGCUUCUUGAAUGCUCUCCUAGGUUUUUUGUGGCUACUCUUAAUUUUAGAUUAAAUGAUUUGAAAUUUUGGAUUAAAUGGUUUGAGAUUUCAAGUCGAGUUCUUAUCUCUACCUGCUUUUUGAAGAUUUCCUAUGUAAAAAUAAAUGGACAAGUGAUCAUAUAGGAUGUUAUUCCCUGAAGCAUCUGAUACUGUUUACUUUCAAAAUGUAAAUACAAGAGUAGGCAGGUCAUUACUCUACUUUUUGAAAGUUGUACAAUCUUUUGAAAUUGUACCACUCUUUUGUUAGUAAAAUUGAAAUUUUGUCUUCUCUAAAAAAUGUUAUUUGAUGCUAAAAAUGUACAUGUAGACAGUCCCAGAGUGAACUGCAAUAAUUUCGUUUUCAAGAUUUGGGGACUGCAAAGCCAGGAUUGGCAAUUAGCAUGUGAUUUUAAUGUGGUGAUUUUUGCCUUCCUGUGGCAGAGUAAAUUGACUCCCACUGAAAAGAUUUUUGCCAUCAUGUCAGUUUUAUGAUCUGUUAAAAGAUUAUGACAUUCUUACUUAAAACUUUGUCAAUUUCAAUAAAGGAUAGAUAAGAAUGUAAAUAUUUUCAUUUCUGGGGUCUCGGAUUUCAUGAUUUUGUAUGGUGUUGAUUUUAAAUCCCAUUUUCCACGUAUAUUGACAUUAUACAUGGAAACGUAUAAAGCGAGACUACAGCUUGCUUCUCUUUUUAAACUAGAAAUUUAAUUUGGAAGAAAUUCCUUUUAGUCUUGGAAUUUUAAGAUGUAUUAGCAGUAGUCUUGUUUAAAGAUUGAAAACUUUUUCACAGUGGAAAAUUAGGAAAUUUCUGAUGUGAAGUGACCAAACAAAUCAUUCGCAUUAGGCUUACAACAUUUCAGAGGAGAAAUCCAUGCCCUUCUGAGUCAUAACUUCAUUUUCAAAAACAUUUAUAACAUCUAUCAUAUACAUUUGCUUCAGUUUGGAUUUUUUUUUUAGACUGGGGGUUCCAAAAGUUUUUGUGAUGAUUAAAGGAUCAUUGGGUUAUCCUAAAAAUAGUGUUUUUUAUUUCAUUAUAAAUAUUGCUGUGGGGCUACAUUCAUGAAUAUGGAAACAUUUCCUACCUUUCAUACUCAUAAAUUCUAAAAGUAAUGGUAUCUGUAAUUAAUACCUUUGUUAAUAAAAGUUUAAUUUCAUGUUAAUUUUAUUUUAUUUUUUGUUGCUUUUUAGGGCGCACCCACGCUGCAUAUGGAAGUUCUCAGGCUAGGGGUUGAAUCGGAGAUGCAGCUGCUGGCCUACAUCACAGCCACAGCAAUACCAGAUCCUUAACCCACUGAGCAGGGUAAGGAUAGAACCCAUGUCCUCAUGGAUACUAGUCGGAUUCGUUUCUGCUGCACCACAAUGGAAACUCCUCAUGUUAACUUUAGUGUUGUGCUAGGAGCCAUGAUGUUUCAUUUCCUUAAAACGAUAAGCUACUCUUUUUUUCAGUCACUGAAGUUAUUUAUCUAUUUAUUUAUUGUCUUUUUCCCUUUUCUAGGGCCACUCCCAUGGCAUAUGGAGGUUCCCAGGCUAGGGGGUCUAAUCAGAGCUGUAGCUGCAGGCCUACACCACAGUCAGAGCAAUGCCAGAUCCUUAACCCACUGAGCAAGGCCAUGGAUCAAACCCCCAACCUCAUGGUUCCCAGUCAGAUUUGUUAACCACUGAGCCAUGACGGGAACUCCUGGAGUUAUUUAUUAAAACUGAGCAAAGAGCCCCUAAAAGAUAUCCAGAUCAGAGCACUUUUUAAAUGUGGUAAUUUUUAUAUAUUAUCUGUGUCCUGAUUGAUGUUGGUGAUAAUGGGUAAGGCAGAAGUUUCCUGAGGGAACACAUUACCUAGAUUCCAUGGGAAGGAAGUGAGUGGUCAAGAAAAGAGAGGGUGUUUGGGGGAUGGUAAGCUCAAGACCAGGAGGGUGAUGGCAGAAGAAAGUGAGGCAGGAGUAGACAUGAAGCUUGGAAAUGAUCUGUAGCCACAGGGAGUCAGAAACAAAAAACCAACACUCAUGCUGAUGAAAUGUCUUAGGACUUGGGUACCAGGAGGUGAAAACUCAGUGUCCUUGGAAACUAGCAAGAGAUGAAUUGCCUUGUUAGGCACUUUCCAGGGUGCCCUGCUGCCUUUCCCACCGCCCUCCCAUGGUAUUUGUUAAUCAUUGUUUUUAGCUAGUGACAAAGCAGAGUGUGAGUCCGUCUAGCUCAUGUAUGUGGUCCUUUUCUCUCUUCAUGGCUGCAAUAUCAACCAGCAGUCCAGCAGACUUUGCCAGAAGCCACAAGGGGUAUCAGGGAGAGAGUAUGGGUGGAUCUUUGCAGAUGUAUCACUGCUGUGAGAAAGAACCAAUAGAGUAAGCAGUGAGAUCCCGCUGUAUAGCACAGAGAACUGUAUCUAGUCACUUGUGAUGGAACAUGGUGGAAGAUAAUGUGAGAGAAAGAAUAUAUGUAUGUAUGAUUGCAUCGCUUUGCUGUCCAGAAGAGAUUGACAGAACACUGUAAGUCACCUAUAAUGGAAAA
rnacentral:lncRNA from 1 species